UUGACCUAAAAAUUCCUUUGAACGAUAUUGGCCAUUGAUAGAAGAAGAACAAAUAUUGAGAGGGUUUGACUGUUGAAUAAGGUGUGCAUGGGAAAAUCUCACAUCCCUCGAGACGGCGACAUAUCGGUUGUUCUUGUUAGAACCAAACACAACCUUGGAUUUUCUGUCGGUUGUUCCCAUGUGGUUGCGCUGACACCGCACAAGUCAGGGAGAGAAUGAAGUGGCAACCACCGACAGCGCCGCCGAGACCCGUUGCGUUAACGUUGCCGUUAUCCUUCUCCAGCUAAGACUUGCGACACUGGCCUACGCUUCGCACGUGAAUAGCAUGUGCAGUGAACUUAACCUUAUGCUAUCAAAUCAAAAUGAUGAACUCUAAUUCUGUUUGUUUGUACUGUGAGCGUCGUUUAUUACGUGCCAUGCAUGUGCUUGUCUCCACUGCCUCUGCACUGCACAAUCAUCCACAACACCAUUUCCACACACUAAUUCUACCUUCUUCUUUCAACCAUCUCUUCUCUUCCCAAUCUUCUAAAUCAUGCCAUUUUUAAUCAAAAC
rnacentral:lncRNA from 1 species